AUUUGUCCUAAGCCAAACCGGAAGCUGCCCCAUCAGUCAGUACUAUGACGUAGUAUAGAUACCGGAAGGGCUUUCGGAGGAUACCCUGGAUCAUGGCGGCUUAGAUCAGACCCAGAAAUUCUUGGAUGCCCCUGCAGGCACACACAGACGCCCGCAGAGCGGAGAGAUCACCCUGGAGUGAGGAUCAGAAAGAGAGGAAGAGGCUGGGGCCAAACGGAGCUCAUGGUGCAAACCCUAAGGGUCAGUGAGAAUCAAAUCGAGGGACACUAAGCAGUAUAGGUCAAGAACCCCAGAAAGGAGCAGCUGAGUUGAUCUCACAGGAGCUCUUGCUGGCAUCUGUAGUAGAGAGAUGGGGUUGCAUUGGCGGCGGCAGGGCCUUCCUGUGCCGUGUGCCGCGAUGACUCCUGGGAGGUGAGGUCGGGUUGUUGACGACAGCCUCUGUACAUGUUAUGAGCGUCCUCACAACACGGACGUUUCCGGUUGCUGGACUUGCCUGGUAACUCAGAGCCCCGGCCCAAGUACAAAGAAGAACCAGGCAGAAUCUGGACCUCAGAUUUUGGGCCCACAUUCUACCUGAAACAAACAAGGCACAAAUCUGCCCACGUCCAGGAAGAUGGUGAGAUACUGAAACAUUCACAACUACUUUUUAAGAUGCCUCAGCACUUCUAAAGAUCUUACCAAGUAUAGUUAUACUUUUGUUAACUACACAUGUGGCCAGUAGGAGAAAAAAAAGACACAAAUAAAAAUUUAAGCAAUUUU